GACGAACGCUGGCGGCGUGCCUAACACAUGCAAGUCGAGCGAGUGAAUCUCCUUCGGGAGUGAAGCUAGCGGCGGACGGGUGAGUAACACGUGGGCAACCUGCCUCAUAGAGGGGAAUAGCCUUUCGAAAGGAAGAUUAAUACCGCAUAAGAUUGUAGCUUCGCAUGAAGUAGCAAUUAAAGGAGCAAUCCGCUAUGAGAUGGGCCCGCGGCGCAUUAGCUAGUUGGUGAGGUAACGGCUCACCAAGGCGACGAUGCGUAGCCGACCUGAGAGGGUGAUCGGGCAAAUUGGGGCUGAGAAACGGCCCAGACUCCUACGGGAGGCAGCAGUGGGGAAUAUUGCACAAUGGGGGAAACCCUGAUGCAGCAACGCCGCGUGAGUGAUGACGGCCUUCGGGUUGUAAAGCUCUGUCUUCAGGGACGAUAAUGACGGUACCUGAGGAGGAAGCCACGGCUAACUACGUGCCAGCAGCCGCCGUAA
rnacentral:rRNA from 1 species